AGCAUAGCGAUUUGGGAUAAGUCCCUUGGAAGAGGGCAGCAUGGAGGGUGAUACUCCCGUCUCUGCUCAGGUUGUCUGUGUGUACGAUACGCUUUCUUUGAGUCGAGUUGUUUGGGAAUACAGCUCAAAGCAGGUGGUAAAUUCCAUCUAAAGCUAAAUAUUGGUGCGAGACCGAUAGCGAACAAGUACCGUGAGGGAAAGAUGAAAAGAACCUUGAAAAGAGAGUUAAAGAGUACCUGAAACUGUUGAAAGGGAACCGUAUCGUUUCUAGUGUGUAUCCUACGCAUAUUUCAUUGGCGGUUGUAAAAUUGCUGGUGCCCUGUGUAUGGGUGUGACGUCAGAGUCAGUUUGAAUUGCGGGAGAUGGGUAGUGAGGAGGUGCGUCACUUUUUGUGAAAGUUACAGCUCGCUAUCUAGUAGCCGUGGUUGAGACUGAGGUGCC
rnacentral:rRNA from 2 species